rfam:Tupaia chinensis contig95927, whole genome shotgun sequence.
ACCUAGUGGCUGGCGUGAACUUCCUGUCCUAGUCCCAGAGCCUGUAAAGGUGAACCCACUGGGGCUGGCUGGGGGAGAAGAGGAGAGUUUGUUCCAGAAGGAACUGUCUGAGGGAU